rnacentral:rRNA from 1 species
UGAGGAAUAUUGGACAAUGGGCGCAAGCCUGAUCCAGCCAUGCCGCGUGAGUGAUGAAGGCCUUCGGGUUGUAAAACUCUUUUAGUGGAGAAAAUAAUGAUGGUAUCCACAGAAAAAGCCACGGCAAACUUCGUGCCAGCAGCCGCGGUAAUACGAAGGUGGCUAGCGUUACUCGGAAUUACUGGGCGUAAAGCGGGUGUAGGUGGAUAUACAAGUCAGGGGUGAAAGCCCAGAGCUUAACUCUGGAAUUGCCUUUGAAACUGUAUAUCUUGAGGUCGGUAGGGGAUAGUGGAAUUCUCAGUGUAGAGGUGAAAUUCGUAGAUAUUGAGAGGAACACCAGUGGCGAAGGCGACUGUCUGGACCGAUUCUGACACUCAGACCCGAAAGCGUGGGGAGCAAA